UACAGAGGGUGCGAGCGUUAAUCGGAAUCACUGGGCUUAAAGGGUGCGUAGGCGGAUGCAUAGGCGCUUUGUGAAAUCCCACGGCUCAACCGUGGAAUUGCUUGGCGAACCAUGCGUCUUGAGGUUGGUAGAGGUCACUGGAACGAUAGGUGGAGCGGUGAAAUGCGUAGAUAUCGAUCGGAACGCCAAAGGUGAAGACAGGUGACUGGGCCAAAUCUGACGCUGAGGCACGAAAGCGGGGGGAGCGAACGGG
rnacentral:misc_RNA from 1 species